GAUGAACGUUGGCGGCGUGCCUAAUACAUGCAAGUCGAACGAAGACUGUAGUAAUACUGUCUUAGUGGCGAACGGGUGAGUAACGCGUGGGUGACCUGCCCCGAAGUGUGGGAUAACAGUUCGAAAGAACUGCUAAUACCGCAUAAUAUCCAAGAGAUUAGACGCUUUUGGAUUAAAGGAGUAAUUCGCUUCGGGAGGGGCCCGCGUCCCAUCAGCUAGUUGGUAAGGUAAUGGCUUACCAAGGCGAUGACGGGUAGGGGACCUGAGAGGGUGGCCCCCACAAUGGAACUGAAACACGGUCCAUACACCUACGGGUGGCAGCAGUAGGGAAUAUUAGUAAUGGGCGAAAGCCUGAACUAGCAACGCCGCGUGUGCGAAGAAGGCCUUCGGUUGUAAGACACUUUUGUAGAGGAUGAGGAAGGACGGGUACUCUCAGAAUAAGUCUCGGCUAACUACGUG
rnacentral:rRNA from 1 species